rnacentral:rRNA from 1 species
CAGCCGUAAACUAUGCGCGUUAGGUGUAUCGGUGACCACGAGUUACCGAGGUGCCGAAGGGAAACCGUGAAACGUGCCGCCUGGGAAGUACGGUCGCAAGGCUGAAACUUAAAGGGAAUUGGCGGGGGAGCACCACAACAGGUGGAGCCUGCGGUUUAAUUGGACUCAACGCCGGGAAGCUCACCGGAUAGGACAGCAGAAUGAUUGCCGGGCUGAAGACCCUGCAUGACUAGCUGAGAGGAGGUGCAUGGCGUCAGUGACU